rnacentral:tRNA from 1 species
GCGCCUGUAGCUCAGGGGAUUAGAGCAGUGGUUUCCUAAACCACGUGUCGGGGGUUCGAUUCCUCCCAGGCGCA